rnacentral:tRNA from 1 species
GUCCCUGUCGUCCAGAGGUCUAGGACCCAGCCCUUUCAAGGCUGUAACGGCGGUUCGAAUCCGCUCGGGGAUACCA